GGUGAUCUAUCCAUGACCAGGAUGAAGCUUGGGUGAAACUAACUGGAGGUCCGACCGACUGAUGUUGAAGAAUCAGCGGGUGAGUUGUGGUUAGGGGUGAAAAGUCGAAACC
rfam:Nicotiana attenuata strain TT chromosome 11, whole genome shotgun sequence.